rnacentral:lncRNA from 1 species
UCUCCUUUUGGCCCUCUUUAUUUGAGCCAUGUAAAAAAAAAUCUGCUUUAAAUAAAAAGUUGUUUUUUAAUCUGUGAGUUUUGUGUAAUCAAAGACAUUGUUUCAGGAACACAGCUCUGACCCACGAGCUUUGGCACGAUGGCAAGCAGUACAAAUGUCCACAUUGCGGGAAAAUCUUCCAAAAGCUGACGACUUUUAAGAACCACGUACGCGUGAAGCACCCUUCAGACCACGUGUGCCACCAGUGCGGGUUCUCAUUUGUCGGUGAGCGCGGCCUGUCCCUUCACAUGAGCAGGAUGCACCGCGCGGCCGAUACUGAGUCGCUGGACGGGCCGCAGUGCGAGGAGUGCAACAUUCGCUUCGCGUCCUCCGCCGCGUAUGAGCAGCACAUGAAGGUGUCUCCCAAACACGCGCCAGCCGAGUGAGUGGAUCUUUCAUUUGCAGACCUGAUCAUCAUCAUCAUCAUCAUCAUAUCAGCCGAUGGAUGUCCACUGCAGGACCUCGGCCUUUUGUAGACACUUCUAAACAUCACGGUCCUGAGCCGCUUGUA